UAGCGUGAGUUAACUCACCUAACGGUAUUUUGAACAUUUACUUUGGAAUGAGCGGAACCAUUUGGAUAAUGAGCAGAAUUCAUAUUUCAUCUAUCAGUAUUGGUGAAAAUUGGGCCUAAAUUGUUGCAUGACAAAAGGAUAAAGGUGGCCCAAAAAGAAAGGAAAGAGAAAAGCCCAAAAGUUGUCCUAUAAAAGAGCAACAUUAUCACUAAGAAGACAAUUCGCUACAUUUUACACUAGUUUUGAGAACCCUAGCCGCUCACGUUCCUUCACAUACUCAUCGUCCAUCUCAUUCCCUUCCAUUGAAGACCAUUGAAGAAAAGAUUACAUAAUAAUAUCAAGAGGGGAGAUUGUCAUUAAAUCAUUGUCAUAUGCAUAUUCAGAUCUACACCAUUGAAGAGCAUUGAAAAAAAAAACAUUGAAGAAUAUCAAAAGGGGAAAUUGUCAUUGCAUCAUUGCCAUAUGCAUAUUUAGUUCCAUUUUGUGUUUCUCAUAAUCGAUGUCGAUCUACUGCAAAUAAGGUU